rnacentral:sRNA from 1 species
CGACUAUGAGGCAUAGGAACCGAUCUCACUCAACCGACGUUAGGGGCCCCCAUCCCGUUGUGCAGAGAUGGCGCGAACUUGGCCCCUGGAGCGAAGGAAAGCGUUGCGGCCUAUGUGUCGCUGCUAACAUAUGCCACAGUUACGAUGUGGACAAGGCGGUCUUACCAUUCCUGAUAAACGUUAUUGUUGAAGGACUUUCGUCUUGUUAGGAUACGGGCUUUCCUUUUCUGAUGCAGGGGAGCUUUGUCCUGUGUGGACCAAGCCCCUGGAGGAGAAGUUGUUCCGGAAAAAUUGUCUGAGUGGGAUGGUGUGCUUGUAACGAGGACAGAAGGACGCAGCGAAGGGAUUAACUACUUAUAACCUGCCCAGACCCUACAAGGAAAUCAAUUCUCCGUUGGCCUAUCGCUUCGUCAUACAAGAAAAUUCGUCCGCUUUGGCAGGGCGGGGACCCGGCACGGAUGAAGAAAGCACUAUUUCAUUUCUGGAGACGCAAAACAAGGGGCUAUUUCCGUGUAUUUAUCUUGAACUUGACAAUCAUAGGGGGUUCAGAAAAAAAAUAAAAAUAAAAGGAGAGGGUGAGAGAAAGAUAGAGAGAACUCCCAUCCACACUACCAGUAUCACUCCUGAAUCACCAGACAUGAACCAACCGAACAAACAAAACGCAAAGCCAAAAUGAAAAAGCAAUCCCCUGCUUCAGUCCCUUUUUCCCUCCUUUGCCAACCGGGAUCUACCCUGAUUUAACCUCCAAAAAGAAAACGCGAUCAGCAUUUCUCGUCAUACAUCUCCACCAACCCCUUGGUACGGAAUGUAACACGAAGGAGGAAAUAAGAGUAAGGGUGCUAUAUACCCUCGUUUACACGCUCCAGCCACGCUGUCAUAUGCUCCUUGAUAUCGUCAAGCGCGACGGCAGCGUCUGACAGCUUCUUCUCCGCCGCUCCCACCAGUCUAUCCAUCUCCCUAGAGAACACGACGUGAACAGACUCCUCGACCGCCCGCUGCAGGUUACUGGUGGAACAUCCUUCGCUAUCCACGGCUGAGGCAGCGAGAGAAGAAUCCACAGCUAUUGUCAUCAUGGAGGCUCCUUUGUCAGAAGGCGUGCUGAUUGUUCUUGUGGAUGUACCUGUGCCUGUGCCUAUGGUGGUAGUAUCGCGGGUGCAUGGAGCUGCAAUGGCGUCUUGUUCUGUCUCUAACACAAUGACUAUAUGUGUUUACAUACAUGCAUGCGGUUAGAGAACAAGAUUAGGUAAGGUAUUAUUGAGAAAGGGUUUCGAGCUCACAUACCCGUGUCAUUGACUUCGAUCACGGACGAUGAGCUAGUUCUACUCCUCCCCUCACGGCCGUUCGUCACGGUCGAUGUUUGUACCUUCCUCGACCGCUUUCGGAAGUCCGCAUCAGCUGUUUAUUUCGCUUUUGUGUGAGCAAUGUCCUCGGUUCUUGCUUUUUGCUUUUUUGUUGUGAAUCUGAGGGUAUGUGUAUAUGUGAAAUAGCUAUUAUUUAUACUUACGAUCGUUCUCGUCCACCACGCGGCGAUGCUGGCACCGCUUUCGCUUCCGGCGACACGAGUCGCAGACCCGCGUCAGUCUUUUUCCGGGCUGGAGGUCAGGGGUCGGCGGUUGGAAACGUUUCUGGUUGUUGGAAAGCCGUCUUAGCCGUCUUUUCGCUACCUGAUGGCUCGGGGAGGCUCCGCUCCUUUUCUCCUCAUGACCACCAAGAUUGUGGAGCAUAGGAGCAGGGAAAAGGGGGAUGAAAAAUAGAAAAGGCAACAGUGUUCAUGUUGAAACUUUUCGAAAUUUGUUCCGUUCUCACCUUUGUCCCUUUGGUGUGUUCCUGUGUGUAUUGGAAUUGGGAGCUGUGUUAACUCUUUGAAUGAAUAUGGCAAUGC